ensembl:lncRNA
UGUUCUACAACAUCUCUUACCUCUGUCGUAUUGAUAUGGCUGUUUCAACAUGUCAGAUCACCUUCAUCUCUUGCAUCGUCCUCUGCAUGUCUUUAUUCCUACCUAAAUUAUUUUUACCCAGAUUGAAGAAAGAAACAGUGCAGUCGGAGGGUAAGAUAAGACAAAAAUGUAAUCCCUCAUUUAGUGUUUCAGUAAUGUCAGUGCUGAUUUGAGCAUCCCUGUGAUCUCUGUGCUCGGGUCACCUGUUAACCUCUACCAGCUCCCCGUGUGUGGCUUCAUAAUGUCACGCAGGGGCACACGGAGGCGUGAGGAGAGAAAUCUCAAACAGUUAAAGGAGAUCACCCAAAUGAUGCGGGAGAGACAGCUUUGAGAGGGAGCCUCGCCGGAGGAGGAGGCAGAGGAGGCCCCUUACACUGCAGAUUGGGAAGGCUAUCCAGAGGAGACCUACCCAGAGUUUGACAUGCCCUCCCACAGAGACAUAUUUCCUAGUGUUAUACUUGAAGAACCUGACCAAGUCAUACCCACAGCAGAGAAGCUUGCUGAGAGAUUGGAGAAGGAAGAAGAGGAGGAGAAUGAGCCUGAUGAUGUGUGUACUAAUGAGGAGGUAAAAGAGGAAAAUAAUGAGGGAGAAAAAGAAGAGGAUGACAAAGAUGAAGAAGAAGAAGAUGAGGAGGAGGAUGAGAUUGGAGAAGACCAGCUCUGUCUUCCUAAAAGUAUUGAUGAGGAUGAUGAGAAACUUGAAUACCCAGGUGAAAAAGAAGAGGAACAGAAACCAAGCAGGAGAAGACGACAAAUCACUUUUAGUGAUCACAGACACGUCUUCCAUUAUCCAAAGGGUGGAGCUGUUGGCUGCAAGUAUGAGGAAGAGGAUGAAGAAGAACUUAAUGGAGAAGAAUAGGAUAAUGAUAAUGAAGGGAAUGAAGAGGAAGAAAAUGGUGAUGAUAAAGACUGUGAAGAAGAAGAGGAGGAAGAUCAACGUAAUGAAGAUGGACAGGGUGAGACCAAGAAGGAGGAGGAUCCCCUAAUGGAGGCGGAGAGUCUGGGAUUCAAUGAUAAAGUGGAAUGUCAUCCUGAGGAACAGGAAGUAGACCUCAUUGACUUGAGGUAACCGUCAUCUCAAUCAAGUCAGAGUCUUCCAAAGCUCAAACCUCUGGGACUCUUAGAAUGCGUCACAAGAAACAAAAGGUGAAGAAGUGACGAGCUUGUCAAAAAAAAACAAUAGUCUUCUGUUCGAAUACCCUUUAGUUCAAACAUACCUUACUGUGAAUCUUUCUUGCUUCACUUAAGGAAACACUUUCUCUGUAACCAUUUAGGCUUUUCUAAGAUUUCAUUAAUCUGUUUCCAAGAACAUCUAGAUAAUAUUUUAGAGUAUGUUGUGUCAAAAAUAGGC